rnacentral:rRNA from 1 species
GAUGAACGCUAGCUACAGGCUUAACACAUGCAAGUCGAGGGGAAACGGCAUUGAGUGCUUGCACUCUUCGGACGUCGACCGGCGCACGGGUGAGUAACGCGUAUCCAACCUUCCCAUUACUGUGGGAUAACCUGCCGAAAGGCAGACUAAUACCGCAUAGUCUUCGAUGACGGCAUCAGAUUUGAAGUAAAGAUUUAUCGGUAAUGGAUGGGGAUGCGUCUGAUUAGCUUGUUGGCGGGGUAACGGCCCACCAAGGCUACGAUCAGUAGGGGUUCUGAGAGGAAGGUCCCCCACAUUGGAACUGAGACACGGUCCAAACUCCUACGGGAGGCAGCAGUGAGGAAUAUUGGUCAAUGGACGGAAGUCUGAACCAGCCAAGUAGCGUGCAGGAUGACGGCCCUAUGGGUUGUAAACUGCUUUUGUAUGGGGAUAAAGUUAGGGACGUGUCCCUAUUUGCAGGUACCAUACGAAUAAGGACCGGCUAAUUCCGUGCCAGCAGCCGCGGUAAUACGGAAGGUCCAGGCGUUAUCCGGAUUUAUUGGGUUUAAAGGGAGCGUAGGCUGGAGAUUAAGUGUGUUGUGAAAUGUAGACGCUCAACGUCUGACUUGCAGCGCAUACUGGUUUCCUUGAGUACGCACAACGUUGGCGGAAUUCGUCGUGUAGCGGUGAAAUGCUUAGAUAUGACGAAGAACUCCGAUUGCGAAGGCAGCUGACGGGAGCGCAACUGACGCUUAAGCUCGAAGGUGCGGGUAUCAAACAGG